AUUUUAUGUUACAUGACUCGUAGUGCGCGCCAGAUAAGUCUGCGCACAGUCAAAAUCGGAUACUAAUUUUU